GACGUAGGGCGCAAGCGUUGUCCGGAUUUAUUGGGCGUAAAGAGCUCGUAGGCGGCUUGUUGCGUCGACCGUGAAAACCCGUGGCUCAACUGCGGGCUUGCGGUCGAUACGGGCGGGCUAGAGUUCGGUAGGGGAGACUGGAAUUCCUGGUGUAGCGGUGAAAUGCGCAGAUAUCAAGAGGAACACCUGAGGUGAAGACGGGUUGCUGGGCCGACACUGACGCUGAUGCGCGAAAGCCAGGGGAGCAAACGGG
rnacentral:rRNA from 1 species